GAUAGAGCGAGGCAGCCCGGGGACCCCCGAGAACCCAGCCGCCGGAGGCGCAGGCUCUAAAUUACGGGGGGGCUCAACCCCCAGGCCUCCAGAAAUGACGUCAGAAUCCUUUGCAUCUGCUACCUCUACCUGCCCGUGCAGACAGGACGACCCUGCCUCGGUGGCCCCAGGGCCAGAGGGUUGGGGGCGAUGCCUGGUGACCUCAAGGACCAAGAUGGGAUCGCCAGGAAUGGAGAGCUCUGCGAGAACUCAGGAGCCCAGGCCCGAAGGGCCCCCCACCGGAGACCCAAGGGGAGACCUGGGGAGGGGGCUGGCC